rnacentral:rRNA from 1 species
GGGUGAUCGGCCACACUGGGACUGAGACACGGCCCAGAUUCCUACGGGAGGCAGCAGUAGGGAAUCUUCCGCAAUGGACGAAAGUCUGACGGAGCAACGCCGCGUGAGUGAAGAAGGUUUUCGGAUCGUAAAACUCUGUUGUCAGGGAAGAACAAGUACGGGAGUAACUGCCCGUACCUUGACGGUACCUGGCCAGAAAGCCACGGCUAACUACGUGCCAGCAGCCGCGGUAAUACGUAGGUGGCAAGCGUUGUCCGGAAUUAUUGGGCGUAAAGCGCGCGCAGGCGGCCUUUUAAGUCUGAUGUGAAAGCCCACGGCUCAACCGUGGAGGGUCAUUGGAAACUGGAAGGCUUGAGUGCAGAAGAGAAGAGCGGAAUUCCACGUGUAGCGGUGAAAUGCGUAGAGAUGUGGAGGAACACCAGUGGCGAAGGCGGCUCUUUGGUCUGUAACUGACGCUGAGGCGCGAAAGCGUGGGGAGCGAACAGGAUUAGAUACCCUGGUAGUCCACGCCGUAAACGAUGAGUGCUAAGUGUUGGGGGGUUUCCGCCCCUCAGUGCUGCAGCUAACGCAUUAAGCACUCCGCCUGGGGAGUACGGCCGCAAGGCUGAAACUCAAAGGAAUUGACGGGGGCCCGCACAAGCGGUGGAGCAUGUGGUUUAAUUCGAAGCAACGCGAAGAACCUUACCAGGUCUUGACAUCCCGCUGACCGGUCUGGAGACAGAUCUUCCCCUUCGGGGGCAGCGGUGACAGGUGGUGCAUGGUUGUCGUCAGCUCGUGUCGUGAGAUGUUGGGUUAAGUCCCGCAACGAGCGCAACCCUUGAUCUUAGUUGCCAGCAUUUAGUUGGGCACUCUAAGGUGACUGCCGGUGACAAACCGGAGGAAGGUGGGGAUGACGUCAAAUCAUCAUGCCCCUUAUGACCUGGGCUACACACGUGCUACAAUGGAUGGUACAAAGGGCUGCAAGACCGCGAGGUUUAGCCAAUCCCAUAAAACCAUUCUCAGUUCGGAUUGCAGGCUGCAACUCGCCUGCAUGAAGCUGGAAUCGCUAGUAAUCGCGGAUCAGCAUGCCGCGGUGAAUACGUUCCCGGGCCUUGUACACACCGCCCGUCACACCACGAGAGUUUGCAACACCCGAAGUCGGUGGGGUAACCCUUACGGGAGCCAGCCGCCGAAGGUGUCAAA